AACGAACGCUGGCGGCAGGCUUAACACAUGCAAGUCGAGCGCCCCGCAAGGGGAGCGGCAGACGGGGGAGUAACGCGUGGGAAUCUACGCAUCUCUACGGAAUAACGCAUGGAAACGUGUGCUAAUACCGUAUACGUCCUUCGGGAGAAAGAUUUAUCGGGGAUGGAUGAGCCCGCGUUGGAUUAGCUAGUUGGUGGGGUAAAGGCCUACCAAGGCGACGAUCCACAGAUGGUCUGGGAGGAUGAGCGGCCCCACCGGGACCGGGACACGGCCCAGACUCCUACGGGAGGCAGCAGUGGGAAUAUUGGACAAUGGGCGCAAGCCUGAUCCAGCCAUGCCGCGUGAGUGAUGAAGGCCCUAGGGUUGUAAAGCUCUUUCACCGGUGAAGAUAAUGACGGUAACCGGAGAAGAAGCCCCGGCUAACUUCGUGCCAGCCGCCGCGGUAAUAC
rnacentral:rRNA from 1 species